rnacentral:rRNA from 1 species
UAAUACAGAGGGUGCAAGCGUUAAUCGGAAUUACUGGGCGUAAAGGGCGCGUAGGUGGUUAAUUAAGUCGGAUGUGAAAUCCCUGGGCUUAACCUAGGAAUUGCAUACGAAACUGAUUGGCUAGAGUAUGAGAGAGGGAAGUGGAAUUUCCGGUGUAGCGGUGAAAUGCGUAGAUAUCGGAAGGAACACCAGUGGCGAAGGCGACUUCCUGGCUCAUUACUGACACUGAGGCGCGAAAGCGUGGGGAGCGAACAGGAUUAGAUACCCUGGUAGUCCACGCCGUAAACGAUGAGAACUAGAUGUUAGGGGGCUUAGACCUUUUAGUAUCGCAGCAAACGCGUUAAGUUCUCCGCCUGGGGAGUACGGCCGCAAGGUUA